rnacentral:snRNA from 1 species
AGAUGUGAGGGCAAUCUGGCUGUAACAUCUGUCACCCCAUUGAUAAUCAGGGUUGAUUCAGCUGAUCUGGUUGGCUAUGCGAGUAAUCCCCUUCCACCCUUACCACUCCAUGUACGUCCCUCCUGAAGCUACACACUCGGUUGAAGAGAACAACCUUCCCUGAAUAGAGGAGGACCAGUCUUUGGUCAAGGGUAGGCGAGUAGCUGUACUCCCCUGCUAGAACCUUCAAACAAGAUCCAAAUUCAUUUAAAGAAAGAAAGCCUAAACUGAAAAGAUCCUCUGUGCCUCAAAAGCAACUGCUUAGGAGGUAUUU